CCUACGGGGGGCUGCAGUGAGGAAUAUUGGUCAAUGGGCGCGAGCCUGAACCAGCCAAGUCGCGUGAGGGAUGACGGUCCUACGGAUUGUAAACCUCUUUUGCCGGGGAGCAAGCGUGCGUUCGUGAACGCGCGUCGAGAGUACCCGGAGAAAAAGCAUCGGCUAACUCCGUGCCAGCAGCCGCGGUAAUACGGAGGAUGCGAGCGUUAUCCGGAUUUAUUGGGUUUAAAGGGUGCGUAGGCGGAAUAUCAAGUCAGCGGUAAAAAUUCGGGGCUCAACCCCGUCGUGCCGUUGAAACUGAUGUUCUUGAGUGGGCGAGAAGUAUGCGGAAGGCGUGGUGUAGCGGUGAAAUGCAUAGAUAUCACGCAGAACUCCGAUUGCGAAGGCAGCAUACCGGCGCCCAACUGACGCUGAAGCACGAAAGCGUGGGUAUCGAACAGGAUUAGAUACCCGUGUAGUC
rnacentral:rRNA from 1 species